GGCAACGUUCCGCGGCACACUAAUGUGCCGCGGAACACCGGUUGGGAAACACUGGUAUAGAGAAAGAGCUUGCUUAAUUCCCCAUUGUUCCAAAACAAAGGUGAGCUGUUUAGGUGAGAUAUAUAUAUAUGUAUGUAUGUAUAUAUAUUUAUAAACUCUGUUUUUCUUGCGGAAAAAAGAAAAUGAAAAGUGAGAAAAAUAAUUAAUUCACAAUGAGUUGGCAGAAAUGUGCCCCCCCCCCGGUGCGGCUGCAAGCAUUUUGCGGUUGUCUUAUCUGUGUUGCUUGGCAAACCUGCAUGUACCACUGGGUAGAAAAGAACUCCAGUUACAGCAUUCAUAGUCGGGGAGCACAGGAGAAUCUGUUGGAGAUGGGAGACUGAUGGAAUGACCCUGUGAAAGCAUGGAAUACUUUGUGAAGAGCUUGUCUGAGGGAUGCUGGACAACUUGCAAGACUUCUGGGCUCAGAGAGCCAAGGCAGCUGCAGAACUUAGCAACCGGGCUUUGCACUUGCUGUGUGGACUAAGGAAGGACUUUGUAAACUAGAACCCUCUCUGGGCUCAGAGAGUAAAGCCUUGUAGCAACUGUAAAUAGUGUGGAUUAUAGCAUCUGUGCUUCUGUUUGCCAAGUAAACACCACAGUUGCUUCCUGUGGUGAGCUUAACUGCUUGACUGAAUGUCUGUGGUGCCAACAGGCCAUUCUGGGCAGCCAAGCCACAACCUGAAAGGGCAGCAAGACUUCUUAAAUGGUGGUAGAGUGGAAAACCCUUGACUGCCUUAUAUUUAUUAAAGGUGAGACAGGUUUUUAAUGUUUUAAUUAGGUUUUUUUUAAGCAUUGUUUUGUUGCUUUGUUGUUCAUUGACUGGAGCUUCUUUGGCAGGAAGGGAUGGAUAAAAAAUUGAUUGAUUGAUUUAAAAGGUAUUUAGAUUCUUGCCGUCUGAUGAAACCUCAAUGUUCUCCUGUCCUUGCUACUCACUCCUCGCCUGCCCCCGCUGAAAAUUCUUCAAUAUCUAGUGACUGACAUAACCAGUGGCUAGAAGUCAAGAAAAGAAAAACUUCCUUAGGUGGCAGGCUUCAACCUAGUUAUAACAAGCUGUAAUGAAAUAAAACAGUGAAAUCUUUGCAUUACAUUGCAAUUUCAAUCAGAUGUAACCUAAUGAGUGAGAUGAGUUCCUCGGCACCAGUGAGGAUCAGCUGAGCUUCAAUUAAUGCACUGAUUCAAUUAAAUAAAGCUUGAAACUCAGAACGUAAUCCAUGCUCAACCCUUGAGAUUGAGUGGGAAGAAAACUAAAUAAAUAGUUUGUAGCUCUUGGAAAGAAAAGUAAUUAAUUGAAUGUUAAAGGUGAUUCCUUCCUACCUUGGCUUUUCACAACUUUAAAGUUACAUUUAGUUGCAUUUGAACUAAGUAUAAUCGUGUUUCAGAUUACACAGAAAAGAAGAAGAAACAGCAAAGAUUUAUGCAAGAUGAGCUGAUUGGCCCAAUUCACACCCAUCAGUUCUACAAGGGAAAAUGAAUUGCUGUUUCAAUUGCUAUUGCCACCAGUUGAAGGAAGGAAAGCUGAGGCUUCACUUUUAAAAUAAAUAUACUGAUUCUGAUGCUUUGAAGUAAAGCCUUUCCCUACAACUGCAUAACUUUUUUUAUUUUAUUUUUUAGGAGCAAUGCCCCAGAAAAAAAAUGGAAAAGGCAACCCCCACCCCAAAUGAGGCGAGAAAUACUAACAAUUUUAAAGCUAUUAUUAAGAAGACACUUCAGCAGCUGAUGGACUUUAGAAACAGAAAGAGAACAUUGUGAAACCUGUGGGCACCAGUGCACAUCCAAACCAGAACCUCACUUCUGCCUCUCCACAUUCUUAAUGAAGGCAGGGGCUGAAAACCAUUUUUCCCAGCACAGGACAGGUUAAAAGAAGGUUAUCAGAUAUUUUUCAAAGAAUCCGGGGACACCUUUUUUU